UACAGAGGGGGCCAGCGUUAUUCGGAAUUAUUGGGCGUAAAGGGCGCGUAGGCGGCCAUGCGUGUCUCCUGUCGAAAUCCCUCGGCUCAACCGAGGACGUGCGGAAGAAACUGCAAGGCUCGAGUCCGGAAAGAGGGGGGGCGGAAUUCCCAGUGUAGCGGUGAAAUGCGUAGAUAUUGGGAGGAACACCAGUGGCGAAGGCGGUCCCCUGGGCCGAUACUGACGCGUGAGGAGCGAAAGCGUGGGGAGCGAACAGGA
rnacentral:rRNA from 1 species